UCAACAUGACCUUCAUCAUCAUCUUCGUCUGGACUCUCACAGCGUUUGCUCAAGAGUAUAGAGGACAGAUCAGCGUCACUCAGAGUCCCUCAACAGCAGCACAACCAGGAGAAACAGUGAAGAUCAGCUGUAAAACCAGCACUAAUGUGGUCAGAUGGGGUGAUGGGACUGAAGUUUUAUCCUGGUACUUACAGAAACCUGGAGAAGCUCCUAAACUCCUGAUUUAUUAUGCAAACCGCCUCCAGUCAGGAACUCCAUCUAGAUUCAGUCGCAGUGGAUCUAACAGUGAUUUCACUCUGACCAUCAGUGGAGUCCAGACUGAAGAUGCUGGACAUUAUCACUGUCAGAGUUUACAUAGUGGUCCAGUGUUCACACAGUGA